rnacentral:rRNA from 1 species
UGGCGGACGGGUGAGUAAUGUCUGGGAAACUGCCUGAUGGAGGGGGAUAACUACUGGAAACGGUAGCUAAUACCGCAUAACGUCGCAAGACCAAAGAGGGGGACCUUCGGGUCUCUUGCCAUCGGAUGUGCCCAGAUGGGAUUAGCUAGUAGGUGGGGUAACGGCUCACCUAGGCGACGAUCCCUAGCUGGUCUGAGAGGAUGACCAGCCACACUGGAACUGAGACACGGUCCAGACUCCUACGGGAGGCAGCAUG